AAGACUAUAGACCUGCGGAGUACCUGCGGAAGGAUCAUUAAAGAGUUGCAAGACUCCCAAACCAUUGUGAACGUUACCCACACCGUUGCUUCGGCGGGCGGCCCGGGCCCUGCCCGGCGCCCCCCGGCCCCUCGCGGGCGCCCGCCGGAGGUAAACCAAACUCUUGAAUUGUAUGGCCUCUCUGAGUCUUCUGUACUGAAUAAGUCAAAACUUUCAGCAACGGAUCUCUAGAUCGGAAGA
rnacentral:misc_RNA from 1 species